rnacentral:rRNA from 1 species
AUUGAACGCUGACGGCAGGCCUAACACAUGCAAGUCGAGCGGAUGACGGGAGCUUGCUCCUUGAUUCAGCGGCGGACGGGUGAGUAAUGCCUAGGAAUCUGCCUGGUAGUGGGGGACAACGUUUCGAAAGGAACGCUAAUACCGCAUACGUCCUACGGGAGAAAGCAGGGGACCUUCGGGCCUUGCGCUAUCAGAUGAGCCUAGGUCGGAUGAGCUAGUUGGUGAGGUAAUGGCGCACCAAGGCGACGAUCCGUAACUGGUCUGAGAGGAUGACCAGUCACCCUGGAACUGAGACACGGUCAAGACGCCUACGGGAGGCAGCAGGGGGGAAUAUGGGAAAAUGGGCGAAAGCCUGAUCCAGCAAUGCCGAGUGUGUGAAGAAGGUCUUCGAAUUGUAAAGCACUUUAUGUUGGGAGGAAGGGCAGAAACCUCUAACGUUAAUAGCGUCGGAAUUGACGGUACCUGACGAAUAAGCCACGGCCAACUCCGUGCCAGCCGCCGCAGUAA